rfam:Punica granatum cultivar Dabenzi scaffold158, whole genome shotgun sequence.
GGCGGAGAUGAAGAGUGCUAUAUGAAUUCUGACACCUCUUGUAUGAGAAGAAGCUUCCAUGGAAGCUUUCUUCCAUGAGCACAUACAGCUACUCUCUGAGCC